UUCUUACUCAAUGGAAACCCAGCAAUUGCAAAAUUGUGCUUUUUCGACAGAAGCAGAAUAUUAGCAGCGUGACAUCCCUAACUAGCAGAAGAUUUGCACACAUUUUAAUAAAAACGCAGCUAGUGAAGCGCAUCACAUCACAAUCCCACCAACUUCUGAAGAGCCUUCUCUACAGUGCACCGCAAAAGGCCGUCACUGUUAGCUGUCCUUUCUUUUUUCAUUAUCCGUCCCAUCAUCAGGCUGGAGAAAACUCAUUUUCAAAUCUCAUCAUAUCCGGAUCUUAUUUUAUGGUGCAACAAACUUUUAAGUGAGCUCAAAGCUGGACUAUAAAGUAAGCAUUAGUUCACUUCGUUCACUAGACCCUGAUUGCAUUCACUUCAGCUGUCCCAUAACUUCAAACUGAUGCUCCAUGUGAUUCGUUAAUCUGCCGUUUGAAUAGGAUGAGGAGAAGAAUCAACUUUCUUAAGGAAUGUGAGGCAGCAAACACACACACACACACACCAGAGAGAACACGUCAGGUCCCUCAGUUUGGGUUCGCUUGCAGUAACUGAGGAGCUAGCUGGCUAACUUGUCAUUGGAGGACAGUUCACUGCGGUUCAAAUAACGGUCUCAAAGCACCUGGUAUACUGUCAGAACAUGUCAGCAUCAGCCGCUUAUGGGAAACGGAAAAAAAA